GAUGCAUUCAGGCUGGGCCUUUAGUUAGAGCCCAAUACUUCCUAGGGUUUCUUGUAGGCUAUAAAUUGCAGCAUCAUUAUCAUGUUUUGUCUUCUUAGUCCUCUGCCACUUCUCAGCAGCAAUCGGCUAGGGUUCGGAUUUGAAGAAGAGUUGGGAGUUUGUUCACCAUGAGGGCCAAGUGGAAGAAGAAGCGUAUGAGGAGAUUGAAGAGGAAGCGCCGAAAGAUGAGACAGAGAUCCAAGUAGUGCCUUAAUCUUAUUUUGUUUCUGUUGAAUUUACAGUUGCUUAUGUUCUAAAUGGAAACCCAGUAGUUAGUGUUACUGGCUUUUCCUUUUUGUGUUUUGAUACAUUUUGUUGGCUUUAAUUAGUUUAUGUUUGGUUUUGUCUUAUUAGCUCGAAACAAUGUGCGAAUCAACAGAAUUUCUUAUUUGCAUCUCUGAUUUUCUCAUUACUAUUUCGCGCCUAGAUGUUUCCCUAAACUUUUUAGGGCGGUUAUAAUUUUGGAUUAUUUCUACUUCAAUUUUUUCCAAUUUAAUUAGUUCAUCUUUUGAUUGAAA
rnacentral:sRNA from 1 species